ensembl:lncRNA
CUCCUUCUAGCACUUUUUUGUAAAAAUACAUUUUUUUCGUAAUAUUUAAAAAGUUAUGAAUUGUUCUUUUUUCUUUUAUAUAAAACUGUUUUCAAAAUGUAUAAUAGUCAAGUAUGUUUGUUUUUGUCACUCAACAGAGAUGUACAACAAGACGAAAAACAUAACAAUCGUACUAGUAGUAAUUUUAACAGUAAUAAAAAUAUACCAUGUUAUAACUAUAUAAGCUUGACAGCUAAUAUAGAUUUACAAACUUUGAAAAAGUUAAAUAACCUAGUUACAAAUAAUAAUAUUCUAUUAAUAGACAUUUUGUUAAAUAUUUAUUAUAACUUAACGAUAAAUAAAAAUAUCAAUUUUAAAACUUUUGUAAAAAAUUUUCGCAAUUUUUGUUAUCUACAUGAAUAUGUUAAAUAUAUAAAACAAAUAAAAAAAGAGGAAAAUGCAGAAAAAGGGGAAGAGGCAAUAAAUGAGGAAGUGGCAAUAAAUGAGGAAAAAGAAGGAGAAAAGGGUAAAGGAAAAGGCAAAGACGAAAAGGGUAAAGGAAAAGGCAAAGACGAAAAGGGUAAAAGCAAAGGCGAAGAAAAAGAGAAAAAGAAAAAACAAAAAAACGACAAAUGUUCAAUAAGUAAAACAAAAAAAAAGACAUAUUAUUUAUACUUCUAUGAAAACACUAAUUUUAUAAAAAAUGAACAUAUAGAAAACGACGAUCUCGAUUUAAAAAAAUAUUUAAACAAUUAUUAUGACAACAAUAUUAUACCAAAACAACACAUGCUCAAUUUUAGAUCAAGAAAUAUGGCAUAUUCUUAUAAAAAGUUGAUCACAGUCAACAAACAGAGUGAUGCGAAAAAUGGAUUAUGUAGUACUGAGUUAGUACAAAAACAAAAUAAAACAUAUGACCAUGAUUUUGUUGAUUACAUAUAUUCGGAAAAAAAAAAAGAAAAAAAAAGAAAAAAAAAAAGAAAAUCUCUAUACGCUGUAUAUACUAGCGCGCUCUUAAAUCAAUGUAAAAAACUAUAUAAAAAAAUUAUUCAAAAUAAUAAAGAAAAAAACAAUUAUAAUGUUGUAACUAUUUUUUUUAAAAAUUUAAGUUUUAGUAAUUUUAUUAAAAUCAUAUAUUUUUUAUGUAAAUCCAAAUAUGAACAUGUUUGGAAAUAUUUAAAAAAAAAAAAAAUAAAUAAUAAAAAAAAAAGUAGCUUGGUAAAUAAAAUGGAAGCUAUACAUAUAAAUAAGUUGAAAAGUAAAAAUAUAGCUGUUUAUAAAAAAAUUACAAAAAAUGUAUACAACGAAUGGAAUAGUACAUCAUGCUUUGAAUUUUUGCAAUAUAUAAUAAAUGAAAAAGACACAACAUACUUUACAAAUUUGUUAAAAAAAAGAAAUAAAAAAAACUUAAUUGACUUAUAUAAAUUAAUACACAUGUUAGUACUACUAAAAUGGGAUAAAUCAAUAUUAUUGCUCUUAUAUAUAUUUCAAAAAAAAAUAAAAACCAAUAACAGCAAUAGUAGCAACAACAGUAGCAACAACAGUAGCAGCAACAGUAGCAACAAUAAUAAGGAACUUUUUUUUUUACUGCUGUUACUAAUAUUAAUUAAAGAUGAUUUUUUUUUUAAAAAAAAAAACCAUAAAACAACAACCUGUUUUUACCAAAAAAAAAAUAAAACUAGUAUGGCCGUUAUCAAAGAAAAUAUAGAUAAUUUGUAUGAUUAUUAUCAAUAUUUUACAAAAAAAAAUAUAUUUUUUGAAAACAUCGGAUUAUAUUAUUUACUUAAAGUAAAAAACAACAACAGUAAUUAUUAUUUUUUAUUAAUUGUAAUUAUAUUUCAUCACUUUUUUGAUAAACUUUUUUUUUUAGAAAAUGUAUUAAUCAAAUCACGACAAGAAAAAAAAAAUAUAAAGGAAAACAAUUUGUUAGUACAGCUUUUUUUUUUUAAAAAUACUAAUAUAUUUAUAAGAAAAAGGUUAUUUUCAAAUAGUUUCUU